rnacentral:lncRNA from 1 species
AAUGUACUGUGCCUGUUCAGAAGGACGAUUUAAGGAGGGACUCCUGGAGAGAACAGAUUCUCUCCACCUCUGUUUUUCACUGAAGUAGUUGUAAAAGUGACAUUGGGUACCAUUUCCACCCAACAGAUGCAGGAAAUACUGGAAAUCUUUUAACAAAAUCUGUACUGCAGAGAUUUCCUUCUGAAUUUCGCAAACUUCAGCAAUUCACAUAAAUGAAAAUUCAAAACAAAACAAAGCGAAAACUUUUUGGCAUUAACCCGUGAGUUACAGAGUGAGAUUUUAAAAG